rnacentral:piRNA from 1 species
UGUCAGACUGCCCAGGAAGAGACUCCCCCU